AGCAGGCAGCAAAAACAGAAAAUUCCUCUUGAUUUUUUGAGGGGUGAUAAAUUUCAAGAAGCAGCAGAGAACUAUAUUAAACCUCUCAUGACUAAAGGCUAUAUGGGGUUAGGAUGAUUCCUAUGUAUUCAUUGGCAACUUGCAAAGGGGAGUUGACAUGAUUUCAAUAGACAAAAGAGAAUUGUUUCGAAAUUACAAAGUGUACACAUGCCUGCUAUCCAAUGGCGCUUUGAUGCACACCAGUAUGAGGUCGGGAUGCUUGCUGGUGCUACCAUCGGUGGUCAAGUAUAUCUCUGGACACCAUCUUAAAGCCACAGGUUUGCUUUCACAUCUAGCACACAAAUUAUGUUUGGCA